UUUUUUUUAUUAUUGUUACAGAGAUUCCAAACACUUUUCAUUAUUCAAUUAUCAAUUCUGAUUCCUGUUUUACUCUCAUUUGACUUCCUGAUGUCCAAAAGGUUUCAGUAGAACAAUGCCGCGAGACUCUCGUCACUGGUUUAUGGUGAAGAAAGAUCCAAGACCCAUUUGUCUCUGGAUGAUAUAUUUGGGUGACCCAUCUCAUUUGAAUGCAAGUUUUUGACUUCUUGUGGUCGAUUCUUGCUGUUUCGGGGUAUGUAUUGAUGUACUAUGAAGUUUCUUUUCUGGGUAUUCUGCUUUGUGAUUAUUUCAUUGGAAGCUAGUCUAAGAAGGUCAUUCUAGAUCAAGCGGAAGCUGUAAGUUCACAGAUUAAGCACAUUGUUCGAAAUUGAGGGAGAAUUUAGUGAUUUGAACUGGGUUCUCAUAAUAAAUUGGAAUCUUGUGUUUCUUUGAACCCUUUAAGAUACUUUGAGGAUUAUAUUGAAGUCGUUUUUGAUUUUGCCGAUCUGCGGGGUUGUUGGUGAUUGGAAAGGAUAAUUCUUACAAGAUUGCUAUGUUUUAAAUCUGUCUAGCCUCCUGUUAGGGAUUAUGCUUAUCUGCAGUAAUUCCGGUAGUAGACAACACUUGUUAAGAGUUGAGUCAACAACUUGGCAAGGUUGAGUUGGACUUUUUCCAUGGCAUCUAUUAGAAGGACCUUAUCUCCAGUACCUAGAGCUGGAAAUUCAAUAAGUGGGGAAGUUUGUCAAGUAGCUUCUCCCUUGUCCAAGUCAUCAUCUAGCAGUCAGAACUAUCCACCAUCUGGUGGAUUGUUAUGUUCUCCUUUCGGCUUAUCAGAUUCCCAAGCUCUUGUUCUUGGCGUUUUCUCACCGAGAUCUUCUAGACCCCUUGAGAGGUCAAAACCGAAAGGGCAAGUUUGGAGGAGACCCCUUUUACAUUUCUUCAUUUGUUUUGUGGUUGGAUCGUUCAUUGGACUAACACCUUUGAUGAAUUUAUCCAUGAAUUAUGUGUCCAAGCACCAAGCAUUCUCCUUUGACAUGGCAUCAAAUGUUGGAAAUUUUCAAAAAUAUGAUAGUGCGACAAGUAACGGGACUGUCACAUUGCAUCCUCGAGAGAUUGAACGAGAAUCAGAAGUGGGAAUUUCUGGUGGUGUUGAGAAUAAUGUCACAUUGCAGGCUCGCGUGAAUGAACAGGAACUAAAUGCAGGGACUUCUGAUGAUGCCCCUGCUAACCAAUCAUUCCCUCAAGAUUCAGCUUUGGUGUUUCAGAAGCUUUUGUUAAUUGUGACCCCUACGUAUCCUCGUCCAUUUCAAGCCUAUUAUCUGAACCGUUUAGCUCAAACACUGAAACUGGUCCAACCUCCACUACUGUGGAUAGUUGUGGAAAUGACAUCUCAAUCAGUGGAAACUGCUGACCUCCUUAAGAGAACUGGGGUUAUGUAUAGGCAUCUUGUUUGCAAUAAAAAUCUAAGCAACAUAAGAGAUAGAAGUGUUCACCAAAGAAAUGUGGCACUCUCUCACAUCGAAACUCAUCGUCUCGAUGGAAUUGUCUACUUUGCAGAUGAUACUAACAUUUACUUGGGCGAUCUUUUCGAACAGAUGAGAGAGAUCAGUCGGUUUGGGACUUGGCCAGUGGCCAAACUAUCUGGGAGCACAAAUAAAUCAUUCUUAGGGGGGCCUAUUUGUAAUGGAACUCAAGUAAUUGGGUGGCACGUAAACGAAUCAAAUAGAAGAUUUCGGAGAUUCCAUACGGAAAUGACAGGGUUUGCUUUCAAUAGUACCAUACUUUGGGAUCCAAAGCGAUGGCACCGACCCACUCUUGAACCUAUUAGACAGCUUGAUACAGUAAGAAAUGGCUUCCAGGUAAGCACAUUUAUUGACCAACUUGUGGAGGAUGAAAGCAAAAUGGAAGGCUUGCCAGAAGGCUGCUCAAGAAUCAUGGUUUGGCAACUUCAUCUUGAAAAAUCUAAUUUCUUCUAUCCACCCAAAUGGUCAAUGAAGGACAAUCUAGAUGCCAUUGUGCCGCUCAUGUUAAAUGCUUAAAACGAGAGGACUUGGAUGAGUGGUGAGGGCAUGUCUACCUAUUGCCAGUUGAUGUAUGUACCUCGUUUCUUCUGACAGCAGAUGAAUUGAAAAUUGCGGACAAAGUCUUGUCUAGCAAACCAUUGUUUGAACGUGUGGCUUCGGAAGUGAAAGUGAAGGCAUGAAUCGAAUUGAAGAUGCUUCACUAUUAUUUUUUGGUAAGUAUGCGGGUGGGGGACUUAAACUUGGGUAACACCAAGUCCAGUAUAUGCAUUAACCAUCUUGGCUGAGGGGCCAUUAGCCGAAGAUACUUUAGCUGUUACUUGUUACUUGUCGCUUAUGAUCUUCAAGAACAAAGGCCGUUGAUUUCAGCUUCCGAAGUCAUUAGUUGUUGUAUGUAUUCAUUUGAAGGAUUUGUUCAAGAAUCAAGACAACCAAAGGAUAAUGUAACGAUUCAAUAAAGCUAAGCUUUGUCGAACAAGUAGUAAUGAAAUAGAAAUUAGUGGUCA